CAAGCAUCCUCUGUCCACUGGAUAGACGAGCCUCACCAGAGUACUUCAUCUCUUCGUACUCCAGGCGAAGCUUUUCCUGUUGGCGAUUAUAAAGUGUGGGCUAAAGUGAAAGCUCUCCGUCAUAAGCCCCUGAACGCGCCUGUUGCUCAAGGUGCUUCUGGGUGUCACCCUGCGACAGGAACCUCUGCACAACCUCCUUGAUGUCAGACACUCCUGUUGCAUCCUUGAUCUUGUUCAUGGCCUCCUCAUAUGUAGUGAUCUUCCUCUCUUGUUCCUCCCCAGAGAGUGUGGCUUUGGGAUCUAAAACAGAUUCAACAGCAAUCAAAUAAACAUUUAAAACAUUUUAA